AGAUUUGAAUCCACUAGGCAUUUUUAUAUAGAGCGUCUAGUGUAUAUGUACAUUCUCUUCUUCUCCCCUCGUCUUAUCCUUCUGAUUAUUAUUUAAUAUGUUCUAUAUGUAAAGUACAUUGUUCAUUCUUAUGGUAUAAAUAGCCCAGCAUUACUUCUUAUGUAGAGUAGUUGUUUAUAUUCUAUACAAAUAUAACAUACGUCAUGUGUCCCUUUUAAAUCUAUCAUAGUAUUAUUCCUCCAUGCCUUCCCUUUGUGGCUCUCCGUCGUUCCUGGAUUCCUUGUGUCAACAGUUUGUGUCUUAUCAACCUCGUCAAGACACAACAAGAAUGGUAUCCGAACAACGUGACCUCCCUAUUGUGGGAUCGUCGGCGAAGCUCACCUUGAUAGAGUUGGGCAAUCCUUUUUCGUCGACGGGGAGACGAUCCUAGCCCAUCUCCGAAAGGGGGAGCAGUACGGUGUGCGCCGGGCAUUGGGGCUCGUGGAGGAUGAAAGGGAACAGUGCACAGGUGGAGAAUGUGUUUGUUUCUCCACUGGAUAGACCGAUGGGUCAGGAUCGUACAUUGGAUGAUGGUGUGCCUCUUGAGAAUGUGUUUAUUUCUUUCCGUGACGUGAUCAUCCAGGAGACUUAUAUCUGAAUCUUAAAGUGAAUGGAUCCAUUCAUAGUUUCAACCCUUGAAUAUAUUCAUUCUUAUCGACUUACUUCUACUACAAAUAACAUCCAACUAACAAAGUAUUCCAUACAUAAAUCCUUCCUACAAACACACCAUAUCAAGAAGAUAAUAACAACCGUAGCUACAAGCUAUAGACACAAUAUGUAUUAACAUUUAGUCAUUAAAUAAAUUAAUUGAUGGAGUUAAACAUUGACGAAGGAAUUUAUAAUAAUAUAUUUAUUACAAGUUAAUGAAGUUGGAGCCGGAUUCUUGUUUUAAAUUGAAAUGAAUGAAUGUACUUAAAUAAACAAAAAGACAAUUAUAUGUUAGAACAAACAUAGUUAACUAUUCAAAAGGCAUUGUAUCAAAAUAGAAAAAUCCAAAUAAAAAUUCGUUCAAAGGGCCUAUAAGUCACAUUUUAUGGUUCUCAUAACUUGGCUUGAUACAUUGGCAGUAUGAAUUCACAGUCCUAGAUAUACAAAUUCGAGCCUUUAGGUAGCUACGUAGUGCAACCCAUCGUUCUAUUGCAAUUUUAGAUUGCUCCAACAGUACUGAGCUUUACAAUUUUCAUCGUACUCGCCAACGACUCCACCUUUGACUACCUCAUCGAAUCCUUUGAUUGACUUGUCGCACAACAGACAACUGCCUCUUCUUCUGACACAUCCUGGAUCAUAACAAAGUGGAAAUUAUUGCUCUUGUCUAAUAUCAUGCUAAUGCGUGAUUGUCAAUCCAUGAGUAAUGGUAGAAUAAAGUGAUUAGUACUUCUUUCAUUCGAACCGCUGUAGUAUUUGUUUAUUUAUCUUUUAUGUUAUUAUAUAUUGUAUUGUUGAUAGGUUUGGUGAUAUGAGUUUAAACGAAUCUAGCCAUUUUGUACACCUAGACAUUUUUUCUUUUUUUCUCCUGCCAUUUUUUCCUUGUGAUAUCUCUUUAAAUGAAUCUAGCCAUUUUUAACACCUA
rnacentral:lncRNA from 1 species